GUGGGGAAUAUUGGACAAUGGGCGAAAGCCUGAUCCAGCCAUGCCGCGUGUGUGAAGAAGGUCUUCGGAUUGUAAAGCACUUUAAGUUGGGAGGAAGGGCAGUAAGUUAAUACCUUGCUGUUUUGACGUUACCGACAGAAUAAGCACCGGCUAACUUCGUGCCAGCAGCCGCGGUAAUACGAAGGGUGCAAGCGUUAAUCGGAAUUACUGGGCGUAAAGCGCGCGUAGGUGGUUUUGUAAGUUGGAGGUGAAAUCCCCGGGCUCAACCUGGGAACUGCCUCCAAAACUGCAUGACUAGAGUACGGUAGAGGGUAGUGGAAUUUCCUGUGUAGCGGUGAAAUGCGUAGAUAUAGGAAGGAACACCAGUGGCGAAGGCGACUACCUGGACUGAUACUGACACUGAGGUGCGAAAGCAUGGGGAGCAAACAGGAUUAGAUACCCUUGUAGUCC
rnacentral:rRNA from 1 species